GAAAGCCCAAAAUGACUCGACAGGAGAUGAGCAGAACAUGGAUGCAAACUGCUUUUGAAAGUCCUGAAUGAAAACAGAGGGUAUCAGGCACUGAUAAGAUGGAUCAUUCUAGCAACUCCUGAGAUGCAGAACCUUCAGUGACAAGAGACAAGAGGCAGUCUUGUAAUUACAGCUCUGACCUGAAGGACAUGCUCUCUCCAAGUAUGACUUCAUACAGGUAGUAAGACCAAGAACUGCAUUAAAAAACAGGAAGAUUGGCCCUAGGCAGACAGUAAAAGCCUGAUUUGGAAAGUUAUUGUCUGGAGAUUGUAUUUGCAUAACAGCAAAUAAAGUCAACCUACAUUGUCCAGUGUUGAGGGAAAAAUUACCUUUGGAGAAAAGGAAGGCAAUUUGCCCUGCUAUGAGUCAUCAGACUCUGCUGUGCUGAAGGAAGAAGACAUUUUUGAGGAAAAGGUUGCUGGCAUAUAUCUACUGUCGGGGAGAAGCAACAUAUAGUGUGGGAAUGGUCAUGCUAGGAGAACUGUCAACAAAUUGGGGAAAAAAACUGUGGUGAAGGGAUAUUCAGAAAAUCAUCGUGAUUCUCUGCAAGAUCCUUUGAGGAACUCCACUACAAGAAAACAAAAAUGAUAUACUCUAGAGGGGUGAUAUUUUUCUAAUGGAUCUCAGUGCUUCAUCAUCUAGUUUGCCAGCCCACGUCAGCCAUGAGAGUAUAUUUGGUAUAAGCACCCCAUUUCAUCAGUUAGGAAGUAACCAUGUGUUAUAACCUGUUGUUGACUCCUACACCCUUGUUCCUCUGGAAAAUAUGAAAUGAAGCUGUUGUUCCUGAUAUUUCUUGAGAAUGGAAUUUCCCUUAGGAAUACUGAAUUUAGACCAGUCUCCUGACCACUCUGAGAUUUGUCAGGGAGCAAACAUCUCCCUUGCCCAAGCAAGAUGGCUCCCACCUCCUGGAGAAAUGGCUCAUGAGGAACACUACAGCCUCCAACAAAAAUGUAACUCUAGUUUGUCCUUCACGUGUGAAGCCAAUAAGGAUUCUCUACCACAGUUUUUGAACAUAUUUCCAAGUAUGGCAGGGCGCAGUGGCAGGCACAUAAUAGGACUUUUUGGCAUGUAUUAGACUGUGCUCAACAACUCUGCUCUCUGAUCCAAACAUGCCCACCAAAAAUAACUUCAGUGAACAGUUUUUAUUUAAUUAUUCCAGCGUGGGACUCGUGAAGUUUUGCCAACAGUCUGGUACUGGUGCAUUUUUCCAUCUGUGAUUAAAAAUAUAGAUAAUGAAGAAACUGUUGUCUUACUUUAAGUGCAAAGAGAACAGAACCAGAAGCUGUGCUUUAUAGGAAGCAGGGGGAUGCUGCAAUAUUUAAACUUGAACUACUGCAGACCAGCUAAAAUGCCCUUCUUCCUUCCCGUUCUCCUCACAAUGGAGGACCAUGAAGCUGCCUUUACUUGCUGAGUAACUCAGAUUCCUGUGGAGGAGUAAAACAGCCUAAAGACAAAAGGAAGAGAGCCCGUUGCCAGCGGAUGAGUAAUGGGCAUGGCCUCCAGACAAUACCUCCUAUCCAGCCCUAAAUCUACAUGGUGUUCUUAGGCUUCCCGGCUUCUCCAAAGCAACCUUUGUCUCUGCUCUGGGAGACCAAAACUGUUCAUUGGCUUUCAGCUUCUGAUAAACCCAGCGACUCAUUGUCCAGCUUCCUGUUCCUGAUAUGCAGAACACAUGUCAGAACAACUGGAGGGAUGACAACAAUGAGAGAUGAAAAAUGCUGAGCUUGAAGACUGAUACCUGUCUAAUCUGUUCCUAAAAGAAAACAGCCAGACUACAGAUGUCACAUGGAAGAAACAUAAUGUUCUGACAGUGUGCAAAGUCCACCCUCUCCAUACUGUGCUUGUCCUAAAUUAACACAUCUCAUGUCUGACUGUGAAUUUCAGGAAUUUGGACUUGGCCAGGUCUGGUUCUGGAUACUGCAACACUUAGUAAGACAAUAAAUAACAUCUACAGGAAUGUCCAGCUGAAGAGAAAAAGGUACCAUUGGCAUUACAUACUCCCAGGGCAACCAGUAUUUGGAAACAGCAAAGUUUUUGGAAUUCAGCACUGUUGCUUAAGUACUGCUGUGGGCUGAAAGAGUUAAUCCACUCUAGUGGAGUGGCAAAUAAGACUGUCCCCAAAGACAUGCCUGCUGCUGACUAUUCUACAAGUCCAGCUACAGGAGAAGCAAAGGCCUCUGCUCCAGGCACAAGUGUCCUAAAAGUCAGAUGCAGAAAUUCUUCUGGAAGAGAUACCACCCAGUUUCGGACUAGCAUACUUGGUGCUGUUUAUCACGGCAAAUGGACAGGUUUGAGCACCAGCACAAUCUACUUCCUUCUUUGGACUUUUUUUGGCUCAGUUUUGGCAUGGACUGAUCACCUUCUCCCAGCUGAUGGCCAAACACCAUUUGGAUGAUUGCUGUGGACCUAAGGCUCUUCUCAAGAGGUGAUAUGGUUGUGGUAACUCGAUUUAGGGGCAAAGAGGGGAGGGCUGACAGUGUGAGCCCAAACCUUGUUAUACCAUUUAUCCUUAGGGCCAGAGAACGGUUUUGGAAAAGUUAGCAAGUCAAAGGUUUAGUGGAUGAGAGGCCUCUGUCAAGUCUUGUGCAAAAAUUGCUUUUUUUUUCCAGUGUCAAUUUACUGUUUUUAAGUGGGUUUACUCCAGAGUACUAUUACCAUAUGUACUUUCUCAUCCCUCUCUUCUUUUUACUAAUCUUGCUCAGCACAUGAGUUGAUUGUAGUAGUAAAUGGUUUGGCCAAACAUAUGGCAAUGGACAGAAUUAAGGUCCUGGUAAGUAGAGAGAUCAGGCUGUCUUCUGCAUGCCCUCUUGGUCAGUAAAAUCCCAUACACACCAGUGCUACUCUGUUUCCGGAUGUCCACCAUGCCUUGCAUCCCACCAGCCAGGCUGCAGGAAGAGGGGUAAAGCAGCGAGGCUGUUUCCUCCAGGCUGAGCUGCUCCACAGCUCCUUUAGAAGAAAGCAAAUCCUUUGCUACCUUUCUUUUGGUCUGCCUCCUGUUGGCUUCCCCUUCCUCAGCACCAGGAGCUGGUUGAGCCCACUAAUAACUCCAUUCUUCAUCAGUGCCACUGAAUGGGCAUUUUACAAGGCAAAGUUUGACUUAAAGCUCUUAGUAAAAGAAAGAAAUCCUUUUUAUAAUUACAUGAAAAGGACAAUUAUUUUCUCGCAUUGGGAUGAGAUCAGAAUUGGGCUUUCUGCAAUUUUUAUGUCCAAUAUAGAUUUGAUUUACCACAAUCCCCUGAUGAUUUUGGUGCUGAUAAAUAAAUGUAUUUAUAUGUUGUGCUCUUACAUUCCUAGUACUAACUGAGGAAGCAGAACAAUAACAUACUCUUGUCAAUACAAGCACUGCCCUGGGAAUUGACUAAUUAACAUAAAACUCAGCCCUGCAGGGACAUUUCCAGGUUCAUUUUUUGCUGCUUCAGCAAACUAUAGGGUUUGAGCUGUUAACUACUUUCAGAUGCUCUUUGUCUCUGAAGAAAGAAAUAAAGAACAUCCACGUUGCUUUAGGCAAGUUAAUGAUUCUACAGAACACUUACCUUUUUACCAUAUGCUUCAUGGUGGAUUAAAAUCCUGAAGGAGUUGAGGAUUAUAUAGCAUGUAUAGUCCUUUGGCAGAAAAACACUUACUCUGAACUAAAAGUGAAUGGCUGAAUGUGACAUUUAUAUUCAUUGUUUUUCCAGAACUGCGUACUGAGGAUGUUUGAAUUUACUCAAAAUAAUUCUUCCAGUAAUCCCAAAGCAGAGGUUUUGUAGGUGCUUUGAUUUCACGUGUUGUCUUAAGGUUAUGACAAAUAGUUCACAGUGGCUACUGGGAAAACUGGAGAAGUUUGCAUAUUCACUUCUGCAAAGUUAGAAGGAAAUCUGGCCUAACUUGGCAAAGGGAUGUGCUUACAGUUUUGAGGAACACAUAAUACUUGGGUUUUUGUGUGUCUGUGUGAUUUACUUUUCACUCAUGUUCAUUCCCUUGGAUGACAAAAGCAAAGUUUCUUGUCUACAGGAAAAAAUAGGAAAUAAAAGAGAAGGAAAGUCAAACUAAAUAAGGCUUUAAUCUCACAGAUAAAGAAAAAAACUUUCCCUCCUUCUUGUAGUGUUUGCUGUUAUUAUAGACUGUUCUUAAUUUCCACAUGUGCCCAUUGCUUUUGUUUAUGAAUGAACAAAAUGACAUACUGCAGUUCACAGAAAUCAUCUGUAGAAAGAAACAAGGGAAUAAUUUUCUAUCACUGCUGAAAACUCUUCAGUAGAUCUUCAUGUGCUGCAGCUAAAAGGACCUGAAAAUUACAUUUUGAAUGAGCACAUAUACUUUCAAAGUAUUUUGUCAGAGCAGAAAGCUAAGUACACGUGCAAAAUGCACAUUUGAGAAAGCCGAAGUCACAGCACUUGCAGAUACACACAAUAUUCAUAGUUUUGUUUUGUACAUACAUUUACUUGUUGGUGCAUGAAUACAUAAAUUUUGUGAGUGUGCUUCAGGCAUUAGUAUGAGAAGCCGUGUGUAUAUAUGUGACUGUUUGUGCCUAUUAGCACAAAUUAUUACAAUUGCUCAUACCUAUCUGAUCCUGCUGUAUAGGCUUCAUAGGCUUUACCCAUUUGGAAUAAAAUUACACGAUGUAUGUCUGCCUGCACAUUUUUUUUUCCCCCAGCAGUUUUCAAACACAAUAAUUCAAUAUUUGCUAAAAAAGGAAGAAAAAUACCUUGUAAAACACAUAAUGUUUUACUCUUUAUCAGGCAAUGUGGAAAGGUUUCAUUUGUAUUGCUGUGUCUCUUGGGCUUCAGAACAGGAAAGCGCUCAUUCAAAAUGUAACGUCCAAGUCCUUUUAGCUACAGCACAUAAAGGUCUACUGAAAAGUUUUCGGCAGUGAUAUGAAAUGAAGUGGGAUAACUUAGAGAAGUCAGGAGGAUGAGAGGAAAUAAAAACAAAUAUGGGGCCAGUAAGUAGCCAGGACUAUCUGCCAGGACAAGGUGACUCCUGGGAAAAGGAAAGAGAGAUGAGUGACUACAGCAUGAGGAGUCAGAAGUAGGGAAAAGGAAAUACUGCUAUAGUAGUAUUUUGAAUAGGAUGAGACAGCAAGUGUCAGGGUGGUCAGACAAAAAACAGCCUUGGUGCCCUUCUAGUACUUGGAGCAGUACUAAAUGUUUGUGAAAGUCACUUGGGAAGAUUUUCAGUUCCUCUAAUCUCCAUCCACAUUAGCAGCAGCAAUCUACUUCUGCCAUUGUUUACUAGAACAACUGUCAUGCCAGUUUGCAGAGAUCUGUGCAAUGGACUUCAGUGUUUCCAGUAUUGCUGAUUCUGGGAGUCAGCAAAUGCAAAGAUGCUAGAAAUAUGUCGAUGAAGUAUUGCUAUUCCUGUUUAUUUGUAUGCUCUCAUGAUCAGUAAAAUAACUUUCCUUAAUUUAGUCUGCCUUUACUCUUCAUGGAAAGCUUAAGGAAAACUAGGCAUAAGCAGCUUGGUUUCAUUCAAUUUUUCUAUGGAGGUCUCAUCCUGCACACACCAAUGGUGGCCAUCUAUCAUAUAUUUACAUUAUGUUGAAAUGAAGGGAACAUGACAUUUUUCCUUUAUUGUCAGGAGGUGUCAAAAGUAUUAAUAGCAUAAUUUUUGCUAGCUGGCUAAAAUUCUCACACUGCAAUCUUGUGCAUCAGCAUUUUUUUUUUUUUUAAACCACAGAUGGUCAUUUAUGUAACACUGUUGGAAAUUGUUGCCAUGUUCCACAGCAACAGGAAAAUGGGAUACAUCUGCACUUUGUGGGGAAAAAUACAAAUGAACUAGAAGCUAAGCAAACAUUUAAAUUACAGGGAAACGGGACUGCGAUAAGCCCUGGUCUGCAUGAGCAGGAAGAGAGUGUCAGCCUCACCCAUACCCUGAAAAAAUGCUCACAUUUAUGGGCCACUCUAUUGUACUGAGUGGAAGUUUGUUUAUGCGGGACCUUCCUUCCCUCAGGACUUCCUCUGAGAGGAAAUGUCGUCACCAUUUAGUAGGAGUCAAUUGUUAUGCAUUCAAAACUCAAACAUAAAAUAGUAUCCCCGAAUGCAACGAAGUGCAAAGGAAUAAAUAAGAUUUAUGCAUUUACAUAUUUGGAAACAUUUACAAAAGUUGUUCUUGCUCACUAAGACUUUCAGAGAACUGGGUAAAAGCUAAUAAUGCUUGAGAAAAUACCUACAGAGCUGAAGACCUGAAUGCACAAGGCAGAAUUAUAUACCUGGGUUAAAAGCAAGAGCACCCACAGGUAUGGACUAAAGGGUGGUUGUGUGAACACACACCUUCUACAGAACAGAGAAGAAUUGUGAAGGCCUCUUCCCUCUAGAACACCCAGUUCUGCUUGGGAAGAAUGUAAGUCUGCCUUCAACUUGUGGAUACACAAGAACAUACACCUUAAUCCAUGUAGGAAAACUCCUGGACUGAAAUACGUCUCCAUCCAAGAAGACUACCUGAGUAUCAACAAGUGUGCCACACAUCAGCAGUGGCUGUAGAAGACCAAACAUCUUCAGAGAAACUACUCUGAGAUCAUUCUGCUCCUCAACUCCACCACUGAAGCUGAACUGCAUCCCUAUUUAGCAAGUUUUAAUAAUCUGCCUCGGAAGAGGAUGGUUCCUGAAAACAGAUGUAUAGCUCUCUUUCAAUCACUCUAUAUAUCCAUAAAUUAAUUCCCUUUUUGUUAGGUUGCAUGUUAUGUUAAGAAGUUCUUUAAGCUAGCUUCCCAAGCAGGCUUCUAACUGACCACUAAGUAUAGGUCACAACGCAGGAUGCAGUUGCGUCCCAGUUCCCCAGCCAGACCACAGACUAUGCGGACUCCUCUCCUCUCCUCUAAUGGGGCACUUGGGAGUUUCCAUUGGUCUGAAGAAGAGUUUCUUGUUGUGAAUGUGACUGGUUCUACUUCACCUGAGUCUCAUGACAGUGUUUUUAAUGAUCAAGACCUCAAUUUUACUUAAGAUACUAAAAAAAAUUUCUAUCUUCUGUAAUAAAAAAAAUGAAAAAGUGGAGCCCCUCUAAACUGCAGAAUCUAGGAUUCAGAUAAAAUACUUUCCACCACCUUAUUUUUAAGGUACUUACAGUUUAUACAAAACCUCUCCUCCUUCUUUAGUAUCAUUUUCCAUGUGUGUUUUUUUUUUUUGCUUUUUUUUCCAAGAGAAAAUGGAGGUAAGGGAAUUCACUUACACUUUUUUACUUAUUUUUUUCUUGUUUGAGGCUGACAAUAGGCAUUUGCCAGCCUUUUGACUAUAACUAAAAUCAGGGUCAUGCUGAUUUCAUUAGAAGCGAAAUAAAGAACAACUAGUCUCAAAAUGGCAGCAGCUACCAAAUCCCUCCCAGAAGAAAGUCAGGUCAGCAUGCCACGAUGUAUCUGAACCCAAGACAAUGGGAAGGUGACUUCUUUCUCAUCACACUCAGGACAGUGCUAAGGGAAAGGCUGGGAUGAGACCCUCAGAGGAGGCACAGCCUGCCCGACAGUAUGGGCAGCGUUUGGUGGAUUUGAGGAAUUUGCAGUGCAUGCCAUAUCAACUGUUUCCUCUAAGUAUUUCAAAAGGAG
ensembl:lncRNA